AUUGAACGCUGGCGGAAUGCUUUACACAUGCGAGUCGAACGGCAGCACGGACUUCGGUCUGGUGGCGAGUGGCGAACGGGUGAGUAAUGUAUCGGAACGUGCCCAGUCGUGGGGGAUAACGUAGUGAAAAUUACGCUAAUACCGCAUACGAUCUAUGGAUGAAAGCGGGGGAUCGCAAGACCUCGCGCGAUUGGAGCGGCCGAUAUCAGAUUAGGUAGUUGGUGGGGUAAAGGCCCACCAAGCCAACGAUCUGUAGCCGGUCUGAGAGGACGACCAGCCACACGGGAACUGAGACACGGUCCAGACUCCUACGGGAGGCAGCAGUGGGGAAUUUUGGACAAUGGGCGAGAGCCUGAUCCAGCCAUUCCGCGUGCAGGAUGAAGGCCCUCGGGUUGUAAACUGCUUUUGUACAGAACGAAAAGGUUUCUACUAAUACUAGGAGCUCAUGACGGUACUGUAAGAAUAAGCACCGGCUAACUACGUGCCAGCCGCCGCGGUAA
rnacentral:rRNA from 1 species